rnacentral:rRNA from 1 species
CCUACGGGAGGCAGCAGUGGGGAAUUUUGGACAAUGGGCGCAAGCCUGAUCCAGCAAUGCCGCGUGAGUGAAGAAGGCCUUCGGGUUGUAAAGCUCUUUUGUCAGGGAAGAAACGGCUGAGGUUAAUACCUUCGGCUAAUGACGGUACCUGAAGAAUAAGCACCGGCUAACUACGUGCCAGCAGCCGCGGUAAUACGUAGGGUGCAAGCGUUAAUCGGAAUUACUGGGCGUAAAGCGUGCGCAGGCGGUUUUGUAAGUCUGACGUGAAAUCCCCGGGCUCAACCUGGGAAUUGCGUUGGAGACUGCAAGGCUGGAGUCUGGCAGAGGGGGGUAGAAUUCCACGUGUAGCAGUGAAAUGCGUAGAGAUGUGGAGGAACACCGAUGGCGAAGGCAGCCCCCGUGGGUCAAGACUGACGCUCAUGCACGAAAGCGUGGGGAGCAAACAGGAUUAGAUACCCUGGUAGUCCACGCCCUAAACGAUGUCUACUAGUUGUCGGGUCUUAAUUGACUUGGUAACGCAGCUAACGCGUGAAGUAGACCGCCUGGGGAGUACGGUCGCAGAUUAAAACUCAAAGGAUUGACGG